UACACAAAAAAAUUUUAAGAGAAGAUAAUUUAAUACUGAAAAGGAUUGUAUAAAGUGUAAAUGUAAUUACUUUGAUAAAAAGUGAAAGAAUGAAUAUCCAGUUAGCCCUUUUUGCAUUUUCUAAGAGAAUAUAAUACAGAUUGUCUUCUUGUAUUUUAUUGUAAUAUUCUUAUUUAUAUUCUUCCUAGUCACACAAAUUUUAAUCUUAAUGAACAAAGCAAAACAUGUGUGCACAGCUUGAAGUUUAAAAAUAAGGCCAUUGACAUUAUGUGCUUUAUUUUUUUUUUUUAGAAAUGGAAUAUUUAUAUACAAAAAUAUUCUAUAAUAAUUGAUUUAUUGUAGAAAAUAAAUACUUGUAUGUGGCAGGUUGCCAGAAAAAACCGUGACAGGUUGAUAAAUACAAAAAUUUGCUAUUUAUAUUUUGUUAAUUUCAAAUCAGGUAAAGGCAGUUCAUUUUAGCGCAGUUAAAUGAUCACAUAUUCUGAAAUGCCAAAUUUGGGUUGAUAUAAGUGUUUCCAUUUACAUAUUUAUAUUCCAAUUUGGGAUGUCUUCAAAAUGGUGAUAGGAUGUAGAUACAAUCAUUUAAUUUAUGCUUAGAAUUUGCCCUUUUAAUCAGAACAUAGGGUGAUAAGUUUUUUUGUUGUUUUUUUUCUUUUCAAGUAAAGUGCAAGGAAUUGUAAUUAUUUUUACUUGGUUUUAGUCUUUCAUGUGUGAAUCAGCCUCUGGAAUGUCUGUUAUUAACUAGGAUGUGUAUGGGGGUCUGGAUGUGGUUUACAGAAUAGAGAAUUAUGGACUAAGAGUACAGAAAAACUAAGAAAUGAGAUAAAUUUGGUUCUUAAAUUUUUAAUGCAAGAGAAUAAUGAAAAAAAUUAGUAAAGAGAAAAGUGGCUUGAAAAAUAAAACAAUAUAGAAAUAAAAGAAACCUCAUUUAGAUCCUGGUUCAUCUGCGAUAAUUUUUAGGCAAAGAAAUCUUAUUCAGUAAUUUUUCAUUAGUAUAAGUUUUAAGAUAUUAAACCAGUAAAUUGUAUAAAGGGGUAGACCUAGGCUUGUGUCAACCAUUUUUAUAUAUACAUGUGUUACAUAUCGAAGUACAAUAGAUUAUUUCAAUUCUACUUCACAUAAAUGCUUAAAAAGCAUCUUUGAAAUUGCCUAUUACAAACACAUUGCUGAUUUUUCAAUUCUACUUCACAUAAAUGCUUAAAAAGCAUCUUUGAAAUUGCCUAUUACAAACACAUUGCUGAUUUUUUCAGAGUUAUCUCCCUUAUCCAAGGUCUUAGGUCAAACAACGUAAAUCAAUAGAUUGACAGUAAAUGUUUUAUAGAAUUUUAGAUGAGACAGGAAGUUAUAACUGUUUAAUUUUUCACAUAAAAGUCAUAACAAGCUAAAUGCUUAAUUAUAAAAAAAAUACUGAUUAUUCAAAUUAAAAGAGUAUAUAUAUAAACAUAUUGAGACAGGUCCAAGUUCUAUUAUUAUUAUUUUUAUAAUUUUCUUGUGAUUAUCAGGUUUCUUAGCGAAAUAUUGAAAUUGAGUGCAAUAUAUGUGCAGGAUUAUUUAUUAAUGAUUCUUUAAAAAUUAUUGUUAUAAACCCGAGUUCUUAAGGCUAUUCUAAAUAAAAUAUCUGUGUUGGGAUGAAGUGUUGAAAGGGAUGUUUUUGCAAGACCCCAACUAUACAAUUUAAAACCAAAACGUAUUACGAGAAAUCUGUGUAUGCUAAAUUAAAAGAUUAUAUAAUAAGAGUUGAAACAAGAACUAAAUCACAAAUAUUAGACAAAACAUAUCAAAUUUGAUCAUUUAUUAGCAAAAAUGAAAUUAGUUCUUUCUUUAAACUGAAAAGUUGCAGUAACUUAGUUACUAUUCCUUCUUGUACCAUUAAAGAUGGUGAUCCCUUUAUAUUGUAUAAUACCAAAUACAUCUUGUAUUAUUUAAAAUUUAAGAGCAAAUAAGGCCGAUUAGGCAGGUAUCCUUAAGAUAACCUAAUCAGUAUAAAACCUAAUAACAAUAUUUUUAAUGUGAUACUAGCUUUUUGUUUCUUUUAUUGUUGAUUUAUUUACAUGAACUUUGAACUUUGUUGAUUUUUGAAAUUAAA
rnacentral:lncRNA from 1 species